GUUCUGUGUAUAUUUAUUUGGUAACGUUUUGGAUUCUGGGAAUGAAAUGGAAGCCACAGUGAGAGCAUCAUGAGCGCUGCAGCCUGGACUGUUGCAGUCAGUGAAAAUCGCUUGUUUUUAAUCAGGGCCACUGGGGGCGACGACAAACGCUGAGCUAUUAAUAACAUUCCACCAUUACAGGUUUCAUGUUGGUACACAAUAUUUGUCAAGCUUUUCAUGGAGGCCAUCGCUUUAAGAAGCUGAAAAUUCUCCGAAUUUGCUCAAGAACCCUUUAGAUUGUUAGGUAACCUCGUAAACAUCAAUAACAACCUCUAAACAUAGUUAAAUGUCAAGAGAUGGUGAGUUUCAAUCCUGAUGUUGUCACUGUCAUCCACCUUUGUUGAUAUACAGCAUUACUUCUUGCCUGUACCGUGUUUGAUUGGCUGUUUGAAAUAGCAUCACCUCUGUGAAUUUUUAUGCUAAAAAAAAAGAAAAUGUCCAUGAAAUGCUCUUAUCUAACAGUCAGGUUGUAGCUUUUUAAGUUUCAGCUAAGAAUGUGAGUUUGUGUAUAUUUUAUAAUGUAUAGUGAGACGUUUCAUUGUUUACUCUCUAUAUUAUUUUCUUGUAUAGUUUUUGUCUGAUGCUCCACCAGGCCAAUAGAGGGCAAUAAAGAGCGAACAACAUUUAGUCAUUACCCAAUACAUGGAAGGUCCGAUUGCCCCGAGCUCAUGUGUACCGCCCAUAUAGCUGUACAUGGUGUUUACUUCAGUGAAGCGUCACUUUACCAGCUUCAGCUUUUUGCCUUAAUUUAGCAUCAGAUGAAGAACCAGCAUCACGGUCUGUGAUGAUCUACUGCGCACUUGAUUUGACUGCGAGUGUCCUGUAUUUAUAUCACCUUAGGAGGGACAACUAAAAUGUUAGAAUUUAUAAACUUUUUUUUUUAACUUAAUCAUAUGUCUUGCACUUUGCCACAUUCCUGAUUUGCAUAUUUUUGCUACUCAUUAGGUUCUGCACUUGAAACCUGUAGAGAAUUUUACUUGUCUUCUUAUCGUCUUAAUCAUUAUUGCUGCUAUGGCUGUGUUUCUAUGUGACCUUAUCAAACCUUUUUUACUACCUUUUGUUUACAUCUCAUUUGUGUCAAUGGCAGUUUCGUUACUUUCUAUUUAUUUUCCUUCCUUUUGAUGGAGCGAUGUCACACUUCAGACGUCGCGUGAGCUGGUUUUGUUCCUGUGCUAGUUUGCAAGUCACCAUUUUAAAAAACUACGGUUAGAUUUGUGGUAUUUAAGUAACAGAUUUAGGUGACGUUACUGUACGCAUUGCUUUCUUUACUGUCUGCUAUUUAACAUGUAGGAUAACGUUUGAGCUGAUGCUGGUCUGUGAGGAGGAAGUCGGGACGCUCCGGUUUGGCGUGGCGGAUGUGUUAAUUACAGUACAGAACACAAUUAUGACACACAAUGUUAAACAAUUAUGAUGUCUUACAGCAUUACAUGAGUCAGCUUUUAGUUUUUACCUCACACUGUGUGUUAGCGGCAGUUUGUGUUACAUUGUUACCUUGAACCCAUCACUUCUACACAAGGAGAAGAAAUCCCCUUUGUCUCAUUAUUCAGAGAUUCAUGUUAUUACAAGAACAAUCUCACUACUGCAAAAAAAAUUUCACGAGAAAACAUGUUUUUAUCAGAAAGCAUGUUAUUAUGAGAGAGAGAAAUCUGUUGAGAAAACGUUAUAGUUUUUAUAUUGAGAUGUGGGAGAAUUUCUCAUGAGAAUCAUAUGUUUUCCUGCAGUAAUGCAUUGAUUUUCUCGUGAAAAUACAUUUUGAUUUUUUUUUUUUUUUAAGCGUAGCGAGCUGCUUCUCUUGUAAUUAAGCUUUAUUGCUGAUAAUAAUGAGAUGCUAACGUUCUCGCUUUUUUCCCCCCUGUGUAGCAAAACCACUUUUGUAUGCAAUUCUUGUUCUUGGUUUUCAUUUUUUCAACUGCACAUGAAUGUGUGAGAAACAGCUUUAUUCUGUUGUACAGAAGUUUUCAUACUCAUCAAAUGAUUAAUCUGAGUGACUGUAAAUACGACAUUCCUUCUGUGUGUCUGAGCGAGUGUGUGCGUGUGGGUGUUGAAGAGUGAGUGUUGCUGAGUGAGUGACAAAGUGAGUGUGUGAGCGGUGCGGAGUGUGUAGUGCACUCACAUUAUUGUCACUUAAAUAUCUCAUAUAAUUCAUAAGCAUCAAAGUGAAGUAUCUUUAAUCCAGUCAUUUGAUUUUUCUUUUUUUAACAUUUGAUUUCAAACAGCUGUGACUUUAUGGAGGUUUUUAUAAAAAAAAAAAAAAAAAAAAAAAAAAGUGACUUGAGAUACUUCUCAGGCUCUUCUUAGUUUUUUUUCUUCUGUCCUUAAAUCUCAGGCUCAAGAUUUACUGUUUGUUCUUCAGAUUUCAGCACAAAAUGAGUUCAGCGUCUGUAUUUUUUCAACAAUAUGACGACUCAACAUGUUAAACAUCUCUGUUCCAAUGAAAACAUUGCCAUUAUGAUUAAAUGAAAUCGAUCACAUGUUAAACGAGUCAGUGUUACACAGAGAGCAACACUAGCGCUCGAUCAUGUGAUCAUCAAACGGAUGGUGAGAGUAGAUUUAAAAAUUAUUUGUUAAAAAAAUCUACCUCUGUGAGCAAAAAUGUACAGAUUGCUGCACCAAUAAAAUGUUUAUACUGAGAUCAAAAGAACAGAAUAGAAACUCGUGACUUCUGAAGAUUUCAGGAGUGUUGCCAUUAUAUGUUACUAAUAAGCAGCUGCAUUUCAGUCCUUCUUCAAACCGUCAUGUGUUAAGUUACAGUUGAAAAACUCAUACGUCAAAUUUCGUUCGAAAUCCUUUUACACUCCAAAUGAAAGAAUCUAGCUUGUGGGGACAAUAUUCAGCUUACAGUUCUGGCGCUAAACCACCUUGAAGCGUUUUUGAGACUUUUGAGAUGUGUCUUCUGCUACAGUGAACAAGUCCAAAGAAGUUCCUGCCUGUGUGUGACUGUGUGACUGUGUGAGUGUGUGUGUGUGUGUGUGUGUGUGUGUGAGUGAGUGAGUGAGUGAGUGAGUGAGUGUCUGUCUGUGACUGAGUGAGUGAGUGAGUGAGUGUCUGUGACGUGAGUGAGUGUCUGUCUGUGACUGAGUGAGUGAGUGUCUGUCUGUGACUGAGUGAGUGAGUGUCUGUCUGUGACUGAGUGAGUGAGUGAGUGUCUGUCUGUGACUGAGUGAGUGAGUGAGUGAGUGAGUGUCUGUCUGUGACUGAGUGAGUGAGUGUCUGUCUGUGACUGAGUGAGUGAGUGUCUGUCUGUGACUGAGUGAGUGAGUGUCUGUCUGUGACUUAGUGUGUGUGUUAGUGUCUGUCUGUGACUUAGUGUGUGUGUUAGUCUGUCUGUGACUGAGUGUGUGUUUGUGUCUGAAGCCAGCCUAAAUGUGCCAGAUAUGUUUUAAAAAAAGGGAAAUUGAUCAUGUUGAUGCUUUUGUGAAAUAAAUUAAAGUCUGUAAAGAUCAUAAUCUAUAAUAUAUUGAAGUCUAUAAGUCUCAGUAUAUUGCAUUAUAUAUUUUGCUUUGCAUGUGUUAGCAGGAUUGCACAGCAAGAUGUGGAUUGCAAUAAAAAGAUAAAAAAUACAAAAA